rnacentral:rRNA from 1 species
GGUUAAGUUUUGAAGAGCAAUAAAUGAAUGCCUUGGCGAUAGGAGGCGAUGAAGGACGUGGCUAGCUGCGAUAUGCUUCGGGGAGUGGAGAGCACACUUUGAUCCGGAGAUUUCCGAAUGGGGCAACCCACCCGAGCAAUCGGGUAUCACUCGUUGAAUAAAUAGACGUGUGAAGCGAACCUGCUGAAUUGAAACAUCUUAGUAAGCAGAGGAAAAGAAAACGAAUGCGAUUCCCUCAGUAGUGGCGAACGAAAGGGGAGAAGCCCAAACUUCGGAUUUUAAUCCGGAGGGUUGUAGGACCUCGACAUGGAAUUGAAUGGGAUAGGAGAAACCGCUGGAAAGCGGUGCCAUAGAGGGUGAAAGCCCCGUAUGCGAAAUCCCAAAAAAUCCUAGAGUGUUCCUGAGUAGCAUGGGAUAAGUGAAACCCUGUGUGAAUCUGUGCAGACCACUGCAUAAGGCUAAAUACUACCUAGCGACCGAUAGUGGACGAGUACCGUGAGGGAAAGGUGAAAAGAACCCCUAUUAGGGGAGUGAAAUAGACCCUGAAAUUUAUUGCUUACAAACGGUCGGAGCCCGUUCCGCGAGGGGUGGGUGACGGCGUACCUUUUGCAUAAUGGGUCUGGGAGUUUUUGUGCGCAGCUUGCCUAAGGUUAUAAAACCGGAGGCGCAGCGAAAGCGAGUCUGAAUAGGGCGUAUGUUGCGUGUAUUGAACCCGAAACGGAGGUGAUCUAUCCAUGGUCAGGUUGAAGCUUGAGUAAGAUCAAGUGGAGGACCGAACUCAUUAACCUUGAGAAGUUAUGGGAUGAACUGUGGAUGGGGGUGAAAGGCCAAUCAAACCCCGUAAUAGCUGGUUCUCUUCGAGAUAUAUUUAGGUAUAGCCUCGUACGUUUGUCAUUGGGGGUAAAGCACUGAAAAGACUAGGGCUCGCAUUAGGGUACCAAACCUUAUCAAACUCUGAAUACCAAUGAUUUAAGUACGGGAGUCAGUCUGCGGGGGAUAAGCUCCGUGGACGCGAGGGAAAGAGCCCAGACCGUCAAUUAAGGCCCCAAAAUUACUGCUAAGUGGUAUUAAGGAGGUGGAUCUACACAGACAGUGGGGAUGUUGGCUUAGAAGCAGCCAUCAUUUAAACAGUGCGUAAUAGCUGACCUAUCGAGUGGAUCUGCGCCGAAGAUGAUCGGGACUAAAGCAGUAUGCCGAAAUUGCGGACUUCACGUAAGUGGAGUGGUAGAAGAGCGUUCCAACUGGGUUGAAGUCAAAGGGGCAACCGAUGGUGGACUUGUUGGAAGUGAGAAUCCAGACAUAAGUAACGAUAAGUACGAUGGAAAUUCGUACCGCCGUAAGGAUAAGGUUUCCUGGGGAAGGGUCGUCCUCCCAGGGUUAGUCGAGGGCUAAGGCGAGGCCGUAAGGAGUAGCCGAUGCACAAUGGGUUGAUAUUCCCAUACCGGUUUUUGUGUGUUAUCUUUGUGGGAGUGACGGAGGAGGUUAAUCCAGCGCAGUGGUGAAUAUCUGCGUCUAAGUCUGUAGGCUGUCGCGUUGGCAAAUCCGCGCGGCGUUAGGCUGAAGGAUGGGAUACCCCUGAGGUUCGCCAAUGGGGGAAGUGGGUGAUACCAUACUUCCAAGAAAAACUUCAACAAGGGCACAGAAAUCGCUCGUACCGCAAACCGACACAGGUAUCCGAGAUGAGUAUUCUAAGGCGCGUGAGUUAAGUCUCUCCAAGGAACUCGGCAAAAUUGCCUCGUAUCUUCGGUAGAAGAGGCGCUACGAAAGUAGUUUCAAUAAAGAGGCCCUACCGACUGUUUAGCAAAAACACAGCUCUCUGCUAAGUCGCAAGACGAUGUAUAGGGAGUGACACGUGACCAAUGCGGAAAGGUGAAAUCUGGAAGUGCAAGCUUUUGGCCUAAGCCCCCGUGAAUGUCGGCCGUAACUAUAACGGUCCUAAGGUAGCGAAAUUCCUUGUCAGGUAAGUUCUGACCUGCACGAAUCGUGUAACGAGUUGGGCGCUGUCUCGGAGAGAUGCUCAGUGAAAUUGUAGUCGCGGUGAAAAUGCCGCGUACCUGCAGCAGGACGGAAAGACCCUAUGGACCUUUACUGUAACCUGGUAUUGGUGUUUGAUUUUUAAUACGUAGUAUAGGUGGGAAACGAUGAGCCCCUGCUUCAGGGUGGGGAGGAGUUAUCAGUGAAAUACCACUUUUUAAUGAUUAGACAUCUAACUUUGUGCCGUUAUCCGGCCGAAGGACCGUGCUAGGGGGUCAGUUUGACUGGGGCGGUCUCCUCCCAAAGAGUAACGGAGGAUUGCGAAGGUUCUCUCAAGUCGGAUGGUAAUCGACUGUAGAGCGUAUAGGUAUAAGAGAGCUUUACUGUGAGACUAACAAGUCGAGCAGUUACGAAAGUAGGUCUAAGUGAUCCGGUGGUUUAAUGUGGAAUUGCCAUCGCUUAAAGGAUAAAAGGUACCCUAGGGAUAACAGGCUGAUAGCGCCCAAGCGUUCAUAGCGACGGCGCUGUUUGGCACCUCGAUG